CUACGGGAGGCUGCAGUGGGGAAUAUUGCACAAUGGGCGCAAGCCUGAUGCAGCCAUGCCGCGUGUAUGAAGAAGGCCUUCGGGUUGUAAAGUACUUUCAGCGGGGAGGAAGGGAGUAAAGUUAAUGCCUUUGCUCAUUGACGUUACCCGCAGAAGAAGCACCGGCUAACUCCGUGCCAGCAGCCGCGGGUAAUACGGAGGGUGCAAGCGUUAAUCGGAAUUACUGGGCGUAAAGCGCGCGCAGGCGGUUUGUUAAGUCAGAUGUGAAAUCCCCGGGCUCAACCUGGGAACUGCAUCUGAUACUGGCAAGCUUGAGUCUCGUAGAGGGGGGUAGAAUUCCAGGUGUAGCGGUGAAAUGCGUAGAGAUCUGGAGGAAUACCGGUGGCGAAGGCGGCCCCCUGGACGAAGACUGACGCUCAGGUGCGAAAGCGUGGGGAGCAAACAGGAUUAGAUACCCCCGUAGUC
rnacentral:rRNA from 1 species